rnacentral:rRNA from 1 species
CCUACGGGAGGCAGCAGUGAGGAAUAUUGGUCAAUGGGCGGGAGCCUGAACCAGCCAAGUCGCGUGAGGGAAGACGGUCCUAUGGAUUGUAAACCUCUUUAGGCGGGGAGCAAUGCCGGGCACGCGUGCCCGGAGGGAGUGUACCCGCAGAAUAAGCAUGGGCUGACUCCGUGCCAGCAGCCGCGGUAAUACGGAGGUUGCGAGCGUUAUCGGGAUUUAUUGGGUUUAAGGGGUGCGAAGGCGGAUGUUUAAGUCAGCGGUAAAUUGUCCGGGCCAACCCCGGGCCGGCCGUUGAAACUGGGGAUCUUGAGUGCGCGAGAAGUAUGCGGAAUGCGUGGUGUAGCGGUGAAAUGCAUAGAUAUCACGCAGAACUCCGAUUGCGAAGGCAGCAUACCGGCGCCCGACUGACGCUGAGGCACGAAAGCGUGGGGAUCGAACAGGAUUAGAUACCCCUGUAGUC